CCUCAAAGCAUUGAGCUUCGCCGACACCUUUGAUUCUUCUUCUUCUUCUAAUAGGUCAACCGAUGACUCAGAAGAGUUCUAAUAAUUAUGGGUGAUAGAAAUCAUACAUCAGCAUCCACAAGAUCAUCGAAUCCCUUCAGCAAUUUGUGUUGAGCUGAGAACCAGCAGUGCACUCAAGCUGUGUGUGAUAGGUGGGUGCUUCUCGAGGGAUGUUGAUGUCCUGCUUCCGAGCCAAUAUGUGGUUCUUGGAUUACUGUUAUCCUUAUCAAGUUUGAAGGAUGCAUCUCUCUCUCUCUCUUUCCUUCCUUUUGUUUUUCUCUUAGCGACUUCUCUUUCCAACUCAGCCAAUCACUAGUGCGACUAUAAGAACUCACUAUAUCUCCACCAGCAAAUUGAGCCUCUCUCUUUUUCUCGAAGAAAAGUGAGAGCGGCACCUUUGUUAUCGUCAUGGAAAGAUUCAGAAGGUUGUAUAAAUAGAAGAAAGCAAUUAGAGUUGA